rnacentral:tRNA from 2 species
GGUGGUAGCUCAGUGGAGAGCACUUGCCUGGCAUGUGGGAGGUACUGGGUUCGAUUCUCAGCACCA